rnacentral:rRNA from 1 species
CAGUCGCCGCGGGAAUACAGAGGGUGCGAGCGUUAAUCGGAUUUACUGGGCGUAAAGCGUGCGUAGGCGGCUUUUUAAGUCGGAUGUGAAAUCCCUGAGCUUAACUUAGGAAUUGCAUUCGAUACUGGGAAGCUAGAGUAUGGGAGAGGAUGGUAGAAUUCCAGGUGUAGCGGUGAAAUGCGUAGAGAUCUGGAGGAAUACCGGUGGCGAAGGCGGCCCCCUGGACAAAGACUGACGCUCAGGUGCGAAAGCGUGGGGAGCAAACAGGAUUAGAUACCCCCGUAGUCCCUGUCUCUUAUAC